AGAAAAUCUCUAUGCCAACCUC
rnacentral:siRNA from 1 species